AGCACUGGGAACCCAGCAUGCUGUGAGUGGAACCAACACAAAUGAAGAGGCAUAGUCAUGGGGCAAGUGUAUAUUUAAAAUUCCUCCCCCUCAUUCUCUUCUUCAAAUGAAUCAGUCCCCACUUCUUCAUAAUCCUUCUCCAGGGCAGCCAGGUCCUCCCUGGCCUCAGAAAACUCUCCUUCUUCCAUACCCUCUCCAACAUACCAAUGUACAAAGGCCCGCUUGGCAUACAUGAGGUCGAACUUAUGGUCAAGGCGGGCCCAGGCCUCUGCGAUGGCCGUGGUGUUGCUCAGCAUGCAGACGGCUCGCUGGACUUUGGCCAGGUCCCCUCCUGGCACGACGGUAGGUGGCUGGUAGUUGAUGCCCACCUGGGGGACAGAGAAAGAAGACAGGCCACAGAAUGGCACGCGAGUCCGCCGAAGACAACAUCAGGGCAUCUGUUGUGGCAUCGUAGACCUGAGUCAAGUUGGGGACAAAUACCCCUGGGGAGAAUGUCAACACGUGAAGCUUAACACUAUGGAUUCUGCUGGCCAGCACCUUCCUGCAAAGCAACUGCCACUAACUCAUCUUUCCAUAGGGGACCUCGGAUCAAGCUUAAAAUAAAGGAGGGGGGCAUCCCCUCUGGUUCAUCACUCCACUUUCCCCACAUGUCUCUCAGUUUUUCUUCUUCCUUAUCAGCAUAUAUUGUUAUUGCAAUCAAAAAAAAAAAAAGUGCAGUGUUUAGACGACCUUGGCUGCUUUGUCCAGAAUGGCCAAACUGCCACAUAACCGUAGGUAGUGUCUAGGAAGAAAAAGACGAUGUGUGCCACAAGAAGAGUGGUGAGCUGGAAAACUGUAUCCGCUUGCUCUGCAAGAACAGCACAGCUGAUAGGAGGGGAGAAAGUCAGGACUUCAUGACUAACAGGACUCAGUCACAUAAAGACUAGAAAUUCCCUUCGUGUUACUCUAAGCAGAAUAAGACAUACAAAGGCAAAAAGUUAACUUUUGUCAUCUAUUGGGAAUAUGCAUCUUAGAAAGAACUAUGCCUCUCUAGCAAUUUGAAUCAUGGGGUUGGCUCUAAAGUUAAAAUGUACCUAGAAGUGUAAACUAUCCACUGAACUUUCUUUUCGGCAAAUUAAAAUGAAUUGCAAGUCCCCAAGGCAUUGAGAUUCAGGUCCCUCAGUU
rnacentral:lncRNA from 1 species